rnacentral:rRNA from 1 species
GACGAACGCUGGCGGCGUGCUUAACACAUGCAAGUCGAACGAUGAAGAAGAGAAACGCUAACUUCUGUUCAAAUUUCACUUCGGAUUAGUGGCAGACGGGUGUGUAACGCGUGAGCAACCUACCUCUUACAAAGGGAUAGCCUCGGGAAACCGUGAUCAUUACCAUAUAACACAUUCAUAAGGCAUCUUAAGAAUGUUAAAGCUACGGCGGUAAGAGAUGGGUUCGCGUCCCAUUGGCUAGUUGGUGAGGUAACGGCCCACCAAGGGGACGAUGUGUAACCGGGAUGAGAAGAUGACCCAUACCCUUGGAGCUGGGACCAGGACGAAACUCGUAGGGGAGGAAGAAGUGGGGACUAUUGAACACUGGAGGGGACACGAAUGCAGCGACGCCGCGUGAGCGAUGAAGGAAUUAGUUUCGUAAAGCUCUGUUCAAUGGGAAGAAAAGGACUGUACCAUAGGAGAAAGCCCCGGCUAAAUACGUG